rnacentral:snoRNA from 1 species
GCGAAUGAUGAAAGAUUUUUAACCCCGAGCAAGUGUCUCCCGUGAGACCGCGCUGACGAUUAAAAAACGCAACAACAACACUCUAAUUUUUUGCUGACG